GGUCGUAUGGGGUAGAGGUAGCAUUCUUGCUGAAUUUAAUCUCUCAAAUCGCAUUUAGCAAGUCACUCGGGUUCGAACCCCGGUACGACCU